AUUCAGAUAAAUCAUUAUAUACAAAAAAAUGCUAAUAGUCCACAAUAUAGCUACAUGCAAUCUAAAAUUUUAUUUCGUAUGAGCAUUAUAAGUUUCUACACCCAUCUUCGAUAAUUUUGUCAACUCUUUAAUUAGUGGUUGCAAAUACACAUCUAUAUUCAUACUCAAACAGUUGGGAGUGGGUAUUAGUAGCACUAACAUCAAAUAAGGUUCCUUCAUGCACAUCCAAUGAGGUAGAUUAUAAGUAACAAAAAUAACCGACCAAAUGCUAUGUUGUGAGUU
rnacentral:lncRNA from 1 species